rnacentral:lncRNA from 1 species
GCUUUGGGCCGCGAACGGACACGGGCUGUGUUUCCUAUUGAAAAACCCUAAUGAAGGGUUAUAUGGAAAGGCUAUCACGUCUCUAUAUAUAUAAAACAUGUACCCCUCAUAUAGAGUGGAGAUGAUAAAGAGGCCAAAGGCCCAAACCUACAUCUUAUGUCUCGUGUGUUUCUUUUGUUGUCGUGCUUAUGAGAAGGUGUCUCUACUGCUGACGGGAGGGAAGGGAGUGGAUCUGGUGGUCCGUGGUAACGUAGUUCUCAACAUGUUAUCAGUACGCUCUACCUUAACGUUACUGUAGGAUUAGAUCUGCAUCAACUCUUCGUCACGUCGACAGGUCCCUCGGCCUUGCCGAACUGUCCUACGCGACAGGUUUCACUUCCGUUCUACAUCAAGAAAUACGGUAUACAAUUUCUUGAUUGAAUCCGUGAUUUACUUUCCAUUCUAUUAUUCACGGUGAAGAAAAAGCAUGCCAUCAGCGGCUCUGCUGGUUGCACGCCGCGCGAAUCGCUAUGAUAGCACACUCCAGCGUGGACGCAGCCGAUCCGCCCGACGCGACCCCUGCUUACGGGCUUUACGGCAGACUAUCCGUCCUCCCGCGAGCCGAUGGGCAAGGCAUCUCGCCGUUCACUCUGGCCAUAACGGCCUCUGGACCUUCCACUUUUUCAACUUGCAGCUCUUCUGAGAUCCCCAGAUCAGCCAGGCCAUCGGUCGUCAUGAUCCCAACAAUGACCUCAUCGCCCGUCACUCUGGCUCGCCUGUCUUCCUGAACAACUGUUUCAAAUGCGCUUGACGCGUGGCCUGGCAGCCAGCAGCUGCUGCGCGGAAAAACGGAUCUAGUAGCUACUGCGUUCGUAGAGGCCUUCUCUUUCAUGAGCGAUCGAGUCAAACGGCCGUUGUGCGGUUAAAAAAAAGUGUGAUAAGCAAAAGAUGGACGAGCGGAUGGGUAGCACUCCCUCUCCGCCACUCCGCAUGGUCCAGCCAUCAUUUGCGGUCGAGUGAGUGGAUAAAAAAAAGAAAUGAAAAUUUCUUAAGUGCGUAAAAAAAUACGGAUGCUAGCUUGUCAAAGGAUGGAUCUCGUUGAUCCGGUUUUCUCGGGAGUGAGAUUUUUUUUACAGUUUUCCUAUAAAUUUUUGCUGAAUUAAUAAACUUUGGUACAAUAUUAAUAUAUGUGCAUACUCUAUAUUAUUUAUUCAAUUUAAUUGCACAUAGCAAAUUGAAUAAAGCAUAUUUUAUGUUGUGAUUUCUAUUUAAAUUAAUUAUUUCUUAUCACAAAUAAUUAAUUAGAAAAACAUAUGAUUAAAUAUGGAUAAACAUAUUUUACAUCAGAUGUGUUAUGUUCAUGCAUUAAUUUUAGUUUUUCUGCUUUUAUUUCUGUUGGGGGUAUGCUUCGUAGCCGAAGAUCCUAAAGAAAGAGAACACCUUCGGAAGAUCCUCUCAGGAGCGAGCGCCGAAGCUAUUACCUAUAGAGGUUCGGCAUAAUGACAGAUCUCGAGACGAAGGGUCGAACCGACUUAAAGAUGGAUUGACUUAAAGACCCAUGAUGUUUUGUGUCAUUAUUGUAGUCUAUUGUAAAGGACAUAAAUGUAAUUUUACACAGGCUGCACCCUGUACUUAUAAAUAGGUGAACAGUACCCCGGCACUGUUCAUGCAACCCUGUAACCGCUAACGCAUUACACUGGAA